GGGGCCUCUCGGCCCGAGGCAGAGGAGCAGGGAAGAUGGCGGCUGUGGUGGAGAAUGUAGUGAAACUCCUUGGGGAGCAGUACUACAAAGAUGCCAUGGAGCAGUGCCACAAUUACAAUGCUCGCCUCUGUGCUGAGCGCAGCGUGCGCCUGCCUUUCUUGGACUCACAGACCGGAGUAGCCCAGAGCAAUUGUUACAUCUGGAUGGAAAAGCGACACCGGGGUCCAGGAUUGGCCUCCGGACAGCUGUACUCCUACCCUGCCCGGCGCUGGCGGAAAAAGCGGCGAGCCCAUCCCCCUGAGGAUCCACGACUUUCCUUCCCAUCUAUUAAGCCAGACACAGACCAGACCCUGAAGAAGGAGGGGCUGAUCUCUCAGGAUGGCAGUAGUUUAGAGGCUCUGUUGCGCACUGACCCCCUGGAGAAGCGAGGUGCCCCGGAUCCCCGAGUUGAUGAUGACAGCCUGGGCGAGUUUCCUGUGACCAACAGUCGAGCACGAAAGGUACAGGAUUAUCCCUGUGGCUAAGGGAGCUUUGAUGGAAAUCAGCCUCCUCUUCACUGGGGGCCACCUAGUUUCUAGAACUGAAACAGAAGCUGGAGUCCAGGAAGCAGGCCCCUGCAGUUCUGUUCUUACUUCAGUCCCUGAUUAUUGUCAGGUACUGACUGGCUUCUCUGUUGCUUCUAACUAUAGACUCUCAUUCAUUCACUUUUAUCACAGAAGGUUAUUAUUAUACACAUAUAUAAUUUUCAUUAAAAAAAUUAAAAUAGGCCAGGUGCAGUGGCUCAUGCCUGUAAUCCCAGCACUUUGGGAGGCCAAGGCAGGAGGAUUGCUCAAGUCCAGGAGUUCGAGACCAGCCUGGGCAACAAAGUGAGACCCCAUCUCUACAAAAAAUAAUAAUAAAAAAAAAUAGCCAGGCAUAGCGGCAUGCGCCUGUUGUCC
rnacentral:sRNA from 1 species